UACGUAGGGUGCGAGCGUUGUCCGGAAUUAUUGGGCGUAAAGAGCUCGUAGGCGGUGUGUCACGUCGGCCGUGAAAACCUGCAGCUUAACUGUGGGCGUGCGGUCGAUACGGGCAUCACUGGAGUUCGGCAGGGGAGACUGGAAUUCCUGGUGUAGCGGUGAAAUGCGCAGAUAUCAGGAGGAACACCGGUGGCGAAGGCGGGUCUCUGGGCCGAUACUGACGCUGAUGCGCGAAAGCCAGGGGAGCAAACGGG
rnacentral:rRNA from 1 species